GGGUUGUGAGGUUAAGCGACUAAGCGUACACGGUGGAUGCCCUGGCAGUCAGAGGCGAUGAAGGACGUGCUAAUCUGCGAUAAGCGUCGGUAAGGUGAUAUGAACCGUUAUAACCGGCGAUUUCCGAAUGGGGAAACCCAGUGUGUUUCGACACACUAUCAUUAACUGAAUCCAUAGGUUAAUGAGGCGAACCGGGGGAACUGAAACAUCUAAGUACCCCGAGGAAAAGAAAUCAACCGAGAUUCCCCCAGUAGCGGCGAGCGAACGGGGAGCAGCCCAGAGCCUGAAUCAGUGUGUGUGUUAGUGGAAGCGUCUGGAAAGGCGCGCGAUACAGGGUGACAGCCCCGUACACAAAAAUGCACAUGCUGUGAGCUCGAUGAGUAGGGCGGGACACGUGGUAUCCUGUCUGAAUAUGGGGGGACCAUCCUCCAAGGCUAAAUACUCCUGACUGACCGAUAGUGAACCAGUACCGUGAGGGAAAGGCGAAAAGAACCCCGGCGAGGGGAGUGAAAAAGAACCUGAAACCGUGUACGUACAAGCAGUGGGAGCACGCUUCGGCGUGUGACUGCGUACCUUUUGUAUAAUGGGUCAGCGACUUAUAUUCUGUAGCAAGGUUAACCGAAUAGGGGAGCCGAAGGGAAACCGAGUCUUAACUGGGCGUUAAGUUGCAGGGUAUAGACCCGAAACCCGGUGAUCUAGCCAUGGGCAGGUUGAAGGUUGGGUAACACUAACUGGAGGACCGAACCGACUAAUGUUGAAAAAUUAGCGGAUGACUUGUGGCUGGGGGUGAAAGGCCAAUCAAACCGGGAGAUAGCUGGUUCUCCCCGAAAGCUAUUUAGGUAGCGCCUCGUGAAUUCAUCUCCGGGGGUAGAGCACUGUUUCGGCAAGGGGGUCAUCCCGACUUACCAACCCGAUGCAAACUGCGAAUACCGGAGAAUGUUAUCACGGGAGACACACGGCGGGUGCUAACGUCCGUCGUGAAGAGGGAAACAACCCAGACCGCCAGCUAAGGUCCCAAAGUCAUGGUUAAGUGGGAAACGAUGUGGGAAGGCCCAGACAGCCAGGAUGUUGGCUUAGAAGCAGCCAUCAUUUAAAGAAAGCGUAAUAGCUCACUGGUCGAGUCGGCCUGCGCGGAAGAUGUAACGGGGCUAAACCAUGCACCGAAGCUGCGGCAGCGACACUAUGUGUUGUUGGGUAGGGGAGCGUUCUGUAAGCCUGUGAAGGUGUACUGUGAGGUAUGCUGGAGGUAUCAGAAGUGCGAAUGCUGACAUAAGUAACGAUAAAGCGGGUGAAAAGCCCGCUCGCCGGAAGACCAAGGGUUCCUGUCCAACGUUAAUCGGGGCAGGGUGAGUCGACCCCUAAGGCGAGGCCGAAAGGCGUAGUCGAUGGGAAACAGGUUAAUAUUCCUGUACUUGGUGUUACUGCGAAGGGGGGACGGAGAAGGCUAUGUUGGCCGGGCGACGGUUGUCCCGGUUUAAGCGUGUAGGCUGGUUUUCCAGGCAAAUCCGGAAAAUCAAGGCUGAGGCGUGAUGACGAGGCACUACGGUGCUGAAGCAACAAAUGCCCUGCUUCCAGGAAAAGCCUCUAAGCAUCAGGUAACAUCAAAUCGUACCCCAAACCGACACAGGUGGUCAGGUAGAGAAUACCAAGGCGCUUGAGAGAACUCGGGUGAAGGAACUAGGCAAAAUGGUGCCGUAACUUCGGGAGAAGGCACGCUGAUAUGUAGGUGAAGUCCCUUGCGGAUGGAGCUGAAAUCAGUCGAAGAUACCAGCUGGCUGCAACUGUUUAUUAAAAACACAGCACUGUGCAAACACGAAAGUGGACGUAUACGGUGUGACGCCUGCCCGGUGCCGGAAGGUUAAUUGAUGGGGUUAGCGGUAACGCGAAGCUCUUGAUCGAAGCCCCGGUAAACGGCGGCCGUAACUAUAACGGUCCUAAGGUAGCGAAAUUCCUUGUCGGGUAAGUUCCGACCUGCACGAAUGGCGUAAUGAUGGCCAGGCUGUCUCCACCCGAGACUCAGUGAAAUUGAACUCGCUGUGAAGAUGCAGUGUACCCGCGGCAAGACGGAAAGACCCCGUGAACCUUUACUAUAGCUUGACACUGAACAUUGAGCCUUGAUGUGUAGGAUAGGUGGGAGGCUUUGAAGUGUGGACGCCAGUCUGCAUGGAGCCGACCUUGAAAUACCACCCUUUAAUGUUUGAUGUUCUAACGUUGGCCCCUGAUCGGGGUUGCGGACAGUGUCUGGUGGGUAGUUUGACUGGGGCGGUCUCCUCCUAAAGAGUAACGGAGGAGCACGAAGGUUGGCUAAUCCUGGUCGGACAUCAGGAGGUUAGUGCAAUGGCAUAAGCCAGCUUGACUGCGAGCGUGACGGCGCGAGCAGGUGCGAAAGCAGGUCAUAGUGAUCCGGUGGUUCUGAAUGGAAGGGCCAUCGCUCAACGGAUAAAAGGUACUCCGGGGAUAACAGGCUGAUACCGCCCAAGAGUUCAUAUCGACGGCGGUGUUUGGCACCUCGAUGUCGGCUCAUCACAUCCUGGGGCUGAAGUAGGUCCCAAGGGUAUGGCUGUUCGCCAUUUAAAGUGGUACGCGAGCUGGGUUUAGAACGUCGUGAGACAGUUCGGUCCCUAUCUGCCGUGGGCGCUGGAGAACUGAGGGGGGCUGCUCCUAGUACGAGAGGACCGGAGUGGACGCAUCACUGGUGUUCGGGUUGUCAUGCCAAUGGCACUGCCCGGUAGCUAAAUGCGGAAGAGAUAAGUGCUGAAAGCAUCUAAGCACGAAACUUGCCCCGAGAUGAGUUCUCCCUGACUCCUUGAGAGUCCUGAAGGAACGUUGAAGACGACGACGUUGAUAGGCCGGGUGUGUAAGCGCAGCGAUGCGUUGAGCUAACCGGUACUAAUGAACCGUGAGGCUUAACCUUACAACGCCGAAG
rnacentral:rRNA from 1 species